rnacentral:rRNA from 1 species
AACGCGAAGAACCUUACCAAGGUUUGACAUGCAGGGAAAAGCCUCAGAGAUGGGGUGUCCGUAAGGGUCCUGCACAGGUGGUGCAUGGCUGUCGUCAGCUCGUGUCGUGAGAUGUUGGGUUAAGUCCCGCAACGAGCGCAACCCUCGUCCAAUGUUGCCAGCGGGUAAUGCCGGGGACUCAUUGGAGACUGCCGGGGUCAACUCGGAGGAAGGUGGGGAUGACGUCAAGUCCUCAUGCCCCUUAUAUCUUGGGCUGCAAACAUGCUACAAUGGCCAGUACAGAGGGCUGCGAGACCGUAAGGUGGAGCGAAUCUCAAAAAGCUGGUCUCAGUUCGGAUUGGGGUCUGCAACCCGACCCCAUGAAGUCGGAGUCGCUAGUAAUCGCGAAUCAGCAACGUCGCGGUGAAUACGUUCCCGGGCCUUGUA